UCUGUCUUUCUAAAUUUUUUAUAAUUGAGGUAAAGUAUCCAGUAGUUGAACAAGUUUUAAAGUAAAA